UAAUACCAAGUUGCUCCUCCAUCCAGAUGUUGCUGCAAUGGUAUGAUUGGUAGUUACUCGUUGACUAAACUUUGGACAGGAAUGGAAGGUUGUCCUGAAUUAUGUAGAAGAUACCAGCCAGAGGUAGGACAUGAUUGGCCCAAGAUAUCACACAUCAAACACGUUUACAUUAAAUCAUCAGAAAAUUAAGAGGAAUUCAAGGAUAUCACUGUCAAGUUUAAAGAACUGAGUUAAUUGGUUGCUGCAAAUUGCUUGUUGUUAUGUUAUUGCGCUGAAAUGUUUUGCAAAUGGAGUGGCUGCAUGUACUAAAUCGGGAAGACCCGUGAUUCUGUCCUGUAACUAUUGGAGGUUGGGAAUUAAAUGUGGGUUGGCAAUGCUUUGAAGUGAAAAACAAUGGUGGUUACCUGCUUCAAGUGUAGUGCAGCUUUGCUGGACAGUGUUAAUGUUGGAUUCUAGUUUUUUUAUACACAUGUUCUUGCCAUAAAUAUCUUUGUGUUAAGUCUGUUUGAUUAUACUAUAGUGACAACUUUGAUGCUAUUUUAUCCGUUUUGUUA